UCUUCAUUAUGCUAAGGGAUAGCCAGUGGAAACUCUGAUUAAUACCUUAUAGUUUGCUUUAUCGGCAUCGAUUUAGCAAUAAAGAUUUAUCGGCAUAAUAUGAACAUGCGUCUUAUUAGUUUGUAGGUGGGGUAACGGCCUACCUAGACUACGAUAAGUACGGGCCCUGAGAGGGGGAUCCCCCACGCUGGUACUGAGACACGGACCAGACUCCUACGGGAGGCAGCAGUGAGGAAUAUUGGUCAAUGGACGCAAGUCUGAACCAGCCAUGCCGCGUGCAGGAUGACUGCCUUAUGGGUUGUAAACUGCUUUUAAUCAGGAAGAAAUGUGCCCACGAGUUGGGUACUUGACGGUACUGUUUGAAUAAGGAUCGGCUAACUCCGUGCCAGCAGCCGCGGUAAUACGGAGGAUCCAAGCGUUAUCCGGAAUCAUUGGGUUUAAAGGGUCCGUAGGCGGAUAGAUUAGUCAGCGGUGAAAGUUUGUGGCUUAACCAUAAAAUUGCCGUUGAUACUGUUUAUCUUGAAUAAGUGUGAAGUGGUUACAAUGAGUAGUGUAGCGGUGAAAUGCAUAAAUAUUACUCGGAAUACCAAUUGCGAAGGCAGAUCUCUA
rnacentral:rRNA from 1 species